rnacentral:sRNA from 1 species
GCCAGGUGUGGUGUUGCACACCUGUAAUCCCUGCUACUUGGGAGGCAGAGGCAAGUUUGAUGAUAGCAUGGGCAACUUAGUGAGACCCUGUCUCAA